rnacentral:rRNA from 1 species
GAUGAACGCUGGCGGCGUGCCUAAUACAUGCAAGUCGAGCGAACAGACGAGGAGCUUGCUCCUCUGACGUUAGCGGCGGACGGGUGAGUAACACGUGGAUAACCUACCUAUAAGACUGGGAUAACUUCGGGAAACCGGAGCUAAUACCGGAUAAUAUAUUGAACCGCAUGGUUCAAUAGUGAAAGACGGUUUUGCUGUCACUUAUAGAUGGAUCCGCGCCGCAUUAGCUAGUUGGUAAGGUAACGGCUUACCAAGGCAACGAUGCGUAGCCGACCUGAGAGGGUGAUCGGCCACACUGGAACUGAGACACGGUCCAGACUCCUACGGGAGGCAGCAGUAGGGAAUCUUCCGAAAUGGGCGAAAGCCUGAAGGAGCAACGCCGCGUGAGUGAUGAAGGUCUUCGGAUCGUAAAACUCUGUUAUUAGGGAAGAACAAAUGUGUAAGUAACUAUGCACGUCUUGACGGUACAUAAUCAGAAAGCCACGGCUAACUACGUG